AUUGAACGCUGGCGGCAGGCCUAACACAUGCAAGUCGAGCGGAUGAAGGGAGCUUGCUCCUGGAUUCAGCGGCGGACGGGUGAGUAAUGCCUAGGAAUCUGCCUGGUAGUGGGGGAUAACGUCCGGAAACGGGCGCUAAUACCGCAUACGUCCUGAGGGAGAAAGUGGGGGAUCUUCGGACCUCACGCUAUCAGAUGAGCCUAGGUCGGAUUAGCUAGUUGGUGGGGUAAAGGCCUACCAAGGCGACGAUCCGUAACUGGUCUGAGAGGAUGAUCAGUCACACUUGAACUGAGACACGGUCCAGACUCCUACGGGAGGCAGCAGUGGGGAAUAUUGGACCAUGGGCGAAAGCCUGAUCCAGCCAUGCCGCGUGUGUGAAGAAGGUCUUCGGAUUUUAAAGCACUUUAAGUUGGGAGGAAGGGCAGUAAGUUAAUACCUUGCUGUUUUGACGUUACCAACAGAAUAAGCACCGGCUAACUUCGUG
rnacentral:rRNA from 1 species